rnacentral:rRNA from 1 species
CAGUAGCCGCGGUAAUACGAAGGGGGCUAGCGUUGUUCGGAAUUACUGGGCGUAAAGCGCACGUAGGCGGAUAUUUAAGUCAGGGGUGAAAUCCCGCAGCUCAACUGCGGAACUGCCUUUGAUACUGGGUAUCUUGAGUAUGGAAGAGGUUAGUGGAAUUGCGAGUGUAGAGGUGAAAUUCGUAGAUAUUCGCAGGAACACCAGUGGCGAAGGCGGCUAACUGGUCCAUAACUGACGCUGAGGUGCGAAAGCGUGGGGAGCAAACAGGAUUAGAUACCCGCGUAGUCCCUGUCUCUUAUAC